rnacentral:lncRNA from 1 species
UGAGUGGCCCCCGUCUCAGCUCAGGACCUCCGACCCGUCCCCCUCCCGUCCCGGUCCCCCUUUCUCUCUCCUCCCAGCGCUCGCCCCGUCUGUCUGACUUCGGCAUCUCUGCGUGGCUGUCGCCCGUGGUGCCCCCGCGAGUGCACAGGGCCAGCCGGGCAGUGUUGCGGAUGCUGUGACACGCGCCCCUCAGCGCCUCCAGGACCCGCCUGGGAGAGUCACCACUGCUCUGCCCACCGAGUCCUGGACCAGGAUCGCGACUUCUCUCCCCCAAGUCCGGGCCGGACGACUCCGACUCGAGCACUCCCUCGGCCCUCAUCCUGCGCUCAGGUCCCGGACGAAGGCCCCACCCCAGUGGGGAGUAAGCAGAAGGGCGAGGUGGCUGUGACAGAUCACGGAUCAAGGAGUGAGGCUUGGAGAAGGCCAGGACCGGGACAGGCCGGCACCCUCGGGAACGCGCUGGCGCUCCCCUGUGCUGACUGCUUCCUGAAGGAUGAGUAAAAGCGUGGUCCCUUAGGCGGUGCUCGGAGCUGCCGGGCCCUAGGUACGGAGCACGCAGAGCUGUUGUCACAGAGGCGCCACCUGAGUCCUGAGCGGCAAAGCUGAAAGCCAUCGUGAGCCUCGGUGUCUCCGGGUGGCCGGGCGUGGAGGCGAUCAGGAAUGAGAUGCCUGUCCCGUCUCCCGCCUUCCACGCCCACCGGCUCCC